rfam:Triticum aestivum genome assembly, contig: Triticum_aestivum_CS42_TGACv1_scaffold_130289_2BL
CCAAAAUUCUUGUCUUAAAUUUGUCUAAAUACGGAUGUAUCUAGUUACAUUUUAGUGUUAAAUACAUCCGUAUGUAAACAAAUGUAAGACAAGAAUUUUGG